ACACGAUUCCAGCACAGAGUAUACACUACACCUCCAAUGGAGAGCAUGCACAGCAGGCAGUCCCCAAGGAAAGCACUGAACCAAUAAGUUCCUAUGGAGAUUUCACUACCACUGAAUGUCCUCAUGUUUGACUUCCAGCAAAAUCCCAGAAUCUCAAGAAUUGCAGUGUUUCACUUAACGACAAGUAAACUGCACCUAGACUAUUUAAAUGCGUGGAAGUGGUCUGGGU